AAGACAAUCUCCAUUGUAAAAGGUCCCAGAGGUCUAAGAAGCCCUCUGAACAGGUGACUUCCAUGAUGGACUCCAGAAGAAAUAGUAUAGUCUUAAAUGGCCAGAAAACACAAGCAGAAAAUAGCCCUGCUUUUGUGGAUACUGGAAGAAAGAUCUCCCCUCUAAAAUCAAUACUGUCCAGAAAGUCAUCAUUAUGUAAUGAAAGCCAGGAGGAUGUGGAAGUGAAAGAAAAAAUAGAGUAUCCAGAUGGAAAGGUGAAACAGGUGUUCAUGGAUGGACGCAGAAUUACUAUUUACCCCAAUGGCACAAAAAUGGAGAUUGGUAGUGAUAAAAGAACAACUGUUGUUACUUUCUACAAUGGCGAUAUUAAGAAGAUUUUGCCAGA